UCCCUGGAGGACUAGUGGUUAGGCCUCGGUGCUCUCACCGCCACGGCCCAGGUUCGAUUCCCGGCCAGGGAA
rnacentral:tRNA from 1 species